CUUUUCCUUUGGGAGUCAUACAGGCUCCAGUGGUAGCAGAGAAAUCCUCCCCACCACGGCUUUCACUUUGUUUAAAUCGACAACACCUUGUGGGGUUUAUUGCUGUUCUUGGGGCCCGGGCCUUAUUUGGUCUUUGGAAGCGACCAAACAUCCCUGCUGAGUCAUGGCCCUCGUACUGUGCUGGUUGGUACAUGGGGGAGAGAAGGACAGAGGGGUUUUAAAAAAAAAAAAAAGAAUUAUUUAUUUGAGCGGGUAGGGAAGGGGCAGAGGGAGAGAGAGAAUCUCAAGCCAAUACCCCGGUGAACAGGCCAUGUGCAGGACUUGAUCCCAGGACCCUGAGAUCAUGACCUGAGCCAAAAUCAAGAGUGGGACACUCAAAUGACUGAGCCCCCCAGGCACCCCCCAGAAGGUCCUUCAAAAAACUCAGAAGAUGAGGCAAAGACACAGGGGAGUACAUAUGUUGUUUACGUCCAUCCUGGUGUUAUGAAGGGCCAUCGCUUUUGUGGACACAGCGGACUCUCUCUUUGAUGAGAAGGGAACUCUGCAGGCUGAUGUCACUGAUGGAAGGAGAGGCAGGGUGCGCAUCACAGGAGACGUGUCGUCACACACACUGGGUUCCGACUCUUGGCAGCUCACCUACUGGCCGUGUUCCCCCAGGACAGCCAUGGAGCCUCCGUGAGACUCAGUUGCUUCGUUGGGAAAAUCGAACUAAGAACACUGCAGAAGGCAAGGGCGAGUGGAAUGUGGCGGAAGGACUAAGGGUGCUCCAUUCCCUAAGCCCUUUGUGAACACCUGCCUUUUGUCUUCCUACUGAAGUGGCACCUCGUCUGGCUAUCCUUCUUGGUCAUGCUCUCCUUACAGUGCUGCUUUCUUCCCUAGUUAUUUCCCUAGUGAUUAAAAAGACCUUGUGAAAUGUUUAGAAUAUUGUUUCCUUUAUUCUUCUGAAAUAUUGACACCUGCAGGAAUGUGAAUAAUGUACAGAUGAAAAGUCAUCAUAACACACCGCAUGAACUCAUCAGGCAGCUGGAACCUGGAGCGUCGCUGCUGUGGGUGCUCUCUCUGUGCUCCUCCCAUGCUCACCUCCCACUCCAGUCCUCACAGGGAAGCACUACCCUAGUUCCUUCGGAGAUGGACCGUGACAUUAUCUUCCAGUGAUACACCACCUAAUUUUGUUUGCUUUUUUUUUUUUUAAUUUUGUUUGCUUUUUAAUGUGAUAAACACAGCCUGUUUCUGAGACUCGGCAACACGGAUGUGUGUGUUUGUGGUUCAUUUAUUAUGGCUGCGGUAAGGAGCAUAAUCAAUGUAUGAAUUUAUGAAUAAACUGCAAUGUCCUUACCCAUUCAGCGGACA